rnacentral:rRNA from 1 species
AGUAAUGCUUGGGAAUCUAGCUUAUGGAGGGGGAGAACUACGGGAAACUGUAGCUAAUACCGCGUAGAAUCGAGAGAUGAAAGUGUGGGACCUUCGGGCCACAUGCCAUAGGAUGAGCCCAAGUGGGAUUAGGUAGUUGGUGAGGUAAAGGCUCACCAAGCCGACGAUCUCUAGCUGGUCUGAGAGGAUGACCAGCCACACUGGGACUGAGACACGGCCCAG